CGGGGGCUGCGAUGAGGGGGCCGCGCCCGGCAGUAGCUGCGCCGCACCCCUCAGCCGGGCUCGGGUCUCCUGUUGCCCCCUCACCGCCUCCCUCCAGCCCUCAAACACGGUCCCAUCCCGGCUUGGCUUAAACCGCAGGGCCCCGGCCUGCGAGGGGCCGUGAGGGGCAGCACGGCGGUGGAGAGAUGCCCACCCCUUAAGGUUCCCCCAUUCCUCUCAGCAGUGCCCGAGUUCAAGGAUAUCGGAGCCCUGCCUGCCUGGGCACCGUGAAGUUGCCAUGGGCCGGUGGGGUUUGUGAAAUGGGGUAAUAUCUGCCCGGGAUCCUGAGGAAGAAGGAUGGCGUGUAACGGGUGGAUGGGUCAGAAGCUUGGCUUGUGACAAGGAAGGAUCCAGUAACAGGCUUCAAGUAGUGGAGAGAAAAACAACAGACAGCCGUUUACUUCCAAGAUCUCAAUGGUAGGAAUGUACACAGAGCGCUCAGUGGUUUCCAGUUCUGAGGUCUCGCACUUCAGAUUAUUGAGUAGUAUUGUACAUGGGCAUGUUUUUUAAUGCAGGUUACUGUGGUCACAAGAGACGGGAGCUAGUAUCACAGCUGAGGUUCCUAUGGAAACAGUCCUUUAUGUGAUCACGCUUGGCUGUGUCUCCUUUACUUCUCCAAUAACUUUUGAAACUGUUGGGUAGUUUCCACCAAAUCUAUCUCGAAUAUAAUUAAGUUAUUUCAUGAAAAUAGUCAGCUGGGUAGAGCUGAGAGAUCCUGUAAAUGUCCCAAAGGCUGCAACACAAACUUACCUUUUAUUAAACAGUGAUUCACAUGGAUGAGAGACUGUAUAAAUGUCUCAGUAAUGACAAAAGUUUCAAUUACAGCUCAUUAUCGAUCUCAGUAUAAGUCUGUGGGAAACCAGAAUUCUUGGGUUCAUGUUCUCCCAGAAUUACUUGUUUAAUGUCCUCCAGUCAGAGGUAGGUGCAAGUGGAAGGGGUACAUGAAGAGGGAGAGAGAUAAAUGAGAAAUUACAAACGUCUGUACCCUGCAAGUCAUUUCAUCUGCUUUGUUGUGUGGGCCUGGCCAUAAAGCUCGAUAUGACAGGGGCUUCACAAAACUGAGAUUAAAGGGAAAAAAAAAAAGAAGUGGAGAACAUACACAUAGAAAUAUAAGAUCCAUUAGGACAGACAGCUGAAGAUGAGAAGGAAACUGAAGGCACUUGGAAUGGGAAGGUACUGAGAGGUUUUCACAGUGGGAAAGAGAUUAUGGCAAUGGUAUCCUCUUCUGAAUUCUUCUCUGAAGAGAGCCCUGCUGCUGCUAGGAGCAGGCUGUCUGGUUUUACAAAAGUCAAAAGAGAUGGGACUGAGACUAAGGUACUUGGAAAGAAAGCAAGAGAUGAUAGACCAGUAGCUGCACUGUCAGAGCAAGUGUCCCAGCGAAUGGCUGAGUGGGCAAGUUGUCAGAUUUUCUUGUUGGCCCCUGAGGAGCCUGAAAAUAGCUGUGUGACUCUCCAAGAUCUUUUUGUUAGUCCUUUCCAUUGGGUUUCAACCCAGAAGGGCAUGAGCCAGUCCCAGGUGUGAAUGUAAUAGUGUCAAAUACAAGGGAUUUCCUAUGGGUAAUAGUAACAAUGGCAUAUAAUGAAACACAUUCACCAAAUACAACACAAAUGCCUUUUAUUAUUCUUUUAAAUCUGAGCCUGUAAACACAGUAGCCUGUAAGUUACUAUACUUCUGGGAGUAAAGUUGAACCCAUAAGUAAGAUGAAGUGUGGGACUUUGGUAAAUACAUGUAUAUCAUACCUGGAAAGCAAUCUUUCUUACAGUAACACUAGGGUGUCAGUAAAAAAAGUAACUGAAUUCUACCUGUGUUUUCAGUACGCCCCGUUUUCAGAUAAGUGAAUUUCUUCAGGUGAAAAAUGAUUUAUUACAUGUGCCAAAGGGAAAUAUAUAUAUAUAUAUAUAUCCGUUACCUAUGAUUAUGCAGCAGUGGAGUUCUCUUAUCUUGUAAUUGUGUUUAUAGUGUUGGACUUGAACUCAGAAUAUAUAAAAUUUAAUUCUUUGGCACAUACUUCUUGUGUGACUGGAUGCUAACAUCUCUUAUUUUUUCAAUUUUAAAAUAAGGAUAAUACCUCUUUCCUUUCAGUGUUUUCUGUUUAGUAUGUCAACUGCCCAACGGCCUUAUUCUUACAUGAGGCUUCUAGACACUAAAAGUAAGCUUCACCACAGGACAUA